rnacentral:rRNA from 1 species
UGCGUAGGCGGAUUAAUAAGUCAGUGGUGAAAUCUUUCGGCUCAACCGAGAAGCUGCCAUUGAUACUGUUAAUCUUGAGUUCGGUUGAGGUAGGCGGAAUGUGUAAUGUAGCGGUGAAAUGCUUAGAUAUUACACAGAACACCAAUUGCGUAGGCAGCUUACUAGACCGACACUGACGCUGAGGCACGAAAGCGUGGGGAGCGAACAGGAUUAGAUACCCUGGUAGUCC